GUAAACGAUCAUACCAUGUUGAAAACACCAGUUCUCGUCCGAUCAUUCAAAUGUUAAGUAACGCAAAAUUGUGCGCGAUUUAGUACUUCGAUCGGUGACCGCUAGGUAACGUAGCUUGUUGUAUGGC
rnacentral:rRNA from 2 species